UGGGGAAUUUUGGACAAUGGGCGCAAGCCUGAUCCAGCCAUGCCGCGUGCGGGAAGAAGGCCUUCGGGUUGUAAACCGCUUUUGUCAGGGAAGAAAUCUUCUGAGUUAACACCUCGGGAGGAUGACGGUACCUGAAGAAUAAGCACCGGCUAACUACGUGCCAGCAGCCGCGGUAAUACGUAGGGUGCAAGCGUUAAUCGGAAUUACUGGGCGUAAAGCGUGCGCAGGCGGUUUUGUAAGACAGAGGUGAAAUCCCCGGGCUCAACCUGGGAACUGCCUUUGUGACUGCAAGGCUUGAGUGCGGCAGAGGGGGAUGGAAUUCCGCGUGUAGCAGUGAAAUGCGUAGAUAUGCGGAGGAACACCGGUGGCGAAGGCAUCCCCUGGGCCUGCACUGACGCUCAUGCACGAAAGCGUGGGGAGCAAACAGGAUUAGAUACCCUGGUAGUCCACGCCCUAAACGAUGUCAACUGGUUGUUGGGAAGGUUCCUUCUCAGUAACGUAGCUAACGCGUGAAGUUGACCGCCUGGGGAGUACGGCCGCAAGGUUGAAACUCAAAUGAAUUGACGGGGU
rnacentral:rRNA from 1 species